rnacentral:rRNA from 1 species
GGACUAACGCUGGCGGCGUGCUUAACACAUGCAAGUUGAACGGGGUACUCUGAGUAGUAAUACGAGGAGUACUUAGUAGCGGACGGGUGAGUAACGCGUGAGCAAUCUGCCUUUGUGAGGGGGACAACAGUCGGAAACGGCUGCUAAUACCGCAUGAGACCACAGCUCUGAAUGGAGCAGGGGUAAAAGAUUUAUCGCACAAAGAUGAGCUCGCGUCCCAUUAGCUAGUUGGUGAGAUAACAGCCCACCAAGGCGACGAUGGGUAGCCGACCUGAGAGGGUGAUCGGCCACACUGGAACUGAGACACGGUCCAGACUCCUACGGGAGGCAGCAGUGGGGAAUAUUGGGCAAUGGGCGCAAGCCUGACCCAGCAACGCCGCGUGAGGGAAGAAGGUCUUCGGAUUGUAAACCUCUGUCCUUGGGGACGAAAAAAAAUGACGGUACCCAAGGAGGAAGCUCCGGCUAACUACGUGCCAGCAGCCGCGGUAAUACGUAGGGAGCGAGCGUUGUCCGGAAUUACUGGGCGUAAAGGGUGCGUAGGCGGCGCUGCAAGUCAGAUGUGAAAUCCCCGGGCUUAACCCGGGAUCUGCAUUUGAAACUGCAGUGCUUGAGUGCAGGAGAGGAAAGCGGAAUUCCUAGUGUAGCGGUGAAAUGCGUAGAUAUUAGGAAGAACACCAGUGGCGAAGGCGGCUUUCUGGACUGUUACUGACGCUGAGGCACGAAAGCGUGGGGAGCAAACAGGAUUAGAUACCCUGGUAGUCCACGCUGUAAACGAUGGAUACUAGGUGUGGGGGAGAUACUACCUCUGUGCCGCAGCUAACGCAAUAAGUAUCCCGCCUGGGGAGUACGGUCGCAAGACUGAAACUCAAAGGAAUUGACGGGGACCCGCACAAGCAGCGGAGCAUGUGUGUUUAAUUCGAAGCAACGCGAAGAACCUUACCAAGGCUUGACAUCCCUUGACGUGCAUGGAAACAUGCAUUCCCUUCGGGGCAAGGAGACAGGUGGUGCAUGGUUGUCGUCAGCUCGUGUCGUGAGAUGUUGGGUUAAGUCCCAUAACGAGCGCAACCCUUAUCAUUAGUUGCCAGCGGGUAAUGCCGGGAACUCUAAUGAAACUGCCGGGGAUAACUCGGAGGAAGGUGGGGACGACGUCAAAUCAUCAUGCCCCUUAUGUCUUGGGCUACACACGUGCUACAAUGGCCGGUACAAAGGGCUGCAAAACCGUAAGGUGAAGCGAAUCCCAUAAAACCGGUCCCAGUUCGGAUCGUGGGCUGCAACCCGCCCACGUGAAGCCGGAGUUGCUAGUAAUCGCGAACCAGCAUGUCGCGGUGAAUGCGUUCCCGGGUCUUGUACACACCGCCCGUCACACCACGGAAGUUGGGAGUGCCCGAAGCCAGUGGGCUAACCCGUAAGGGAGGCAGCUGUCGAAGGCAAGAUCAAUGACUGGGGUGAGGUCGUAACAAGGUA